GAUGAACGCUGGCGGCGUGCCUAAUACAUGCAAGUCGAGCGAACAGACGAGGAGCUUGGUCCUCUGACGUUAGCGGCGGACGGGUGAGUAACACGUGGAUAACCUACCUAUAAGACUGGGAUAACUUCGGGAAACCGGAGCUAAUACCGGAUAAUAUAUUUAACCGCAUGGUUCAAUAGUGAAAGACGGUUUUGCUGUCACUUAUAGAUGGAUCCGCGCCGCAUUAGCGAGGUGGUAAGGUAACGGCUUACCAAGGCGACGAUGCGUAGCCGACCUGAGAGGGUGAACGGCCACACUGGAACUGAGACACGGCCCAGACUCCGACGGGAGGCAGCAGUAGGGAAUCUUCCGAAAUGGGCGAAAGCCUGACGGAGCAACGCCGCGUGAGUGAUGAAGGUCUUCGGAUCGUAAAACUCUGUUAUUAGGGAAGAACAAAUGUGUAAGUAACUAUGCACGUCUUGACGGUACCUAAUCAGAAAGCCACGGCUAACUACGUG
rnacentral:rRNA from 1 species